rnacentral:rRNA from 1 species
AGAGUUUGAUCCUGGCUCAGGAUGAACGCUAGCGAUAGGCCUAACACAUGCAAGUCGAGGGGCAGCACAUGAAGCAGCAAUGCGGAUGGUGGCGACCGGCGCACGGGUGAGUAACGCGUAUGCAACCUACCUACAACAGGGGAAUAACCCGUUGAAAAACGGACUAAUACCCCAUAAAACAGGGAUCCCGCAUGGGAAUAUUUGUUAAAGAUUUAUCGGUUGUAGAUGGGCAUGCGUUCCAUUAGCUAGUUGGUGAGGUAACGGCUCACCAAGGCAACGAUGGAUAGGGGAACUGAGAGGUUUAUCCCCCACACUGGUACUGAGACACGGACCAGACUCCUACGGGAGGCAGCAGUGAGGAAUAUUGGUCAAUGGGCGCAAGCCUGAACCAGCCACGUCGCGUGAAGGAAGACGGCCCUACGGGUUGUAAACUUCUUUUGUAAGGGAAUAAAGUGUAGUACGUGUACUAUUUUGCAUGUACCUUACGAAUAAGGAUCGGCUAACUCCGUGCCAGCAGCCGCGGUAAUACGGAGGAUCCGAGCGUUAUCCGGAUUUAUUGGGUUUAAAGGGUGCGCAGGCGGGAGAUUAAGUCGGCGGUGAAAUUUUGCAGCUUAACUGUAAAAGUGCCUUCGAAACUGGUUUCCUUGAGUGUAGAUGAAGUAGGCGGAAUUUGUGGUGUAGCGGUGAAAUGCAUAGAUAUCACGAGGAACUCCGAUUGCGCAGGCAGCUUACUAAACUACUACUGACGCUCAGGCACGAAGGCGUGGGGAUCAAACAGGAUUAGAUACCCUGGUAGUCCACGCAGUAAACGAUGAUUACUCGCUGUUUGCGAUAUACAGUAAGCGGCUUAGCGAAAGCGUUAAGUAAUCCACCUGGGGAGUACGUUCGCAAGAUGAAACUCAAAGGAAUUGACGG